UCUCACAAGAAGUCACAUUCUCUUCUUACUGUCCUUGCUGGAGCAUGGGAAAGAGCCGUUCAGUGGCCUUUUCCUGAUUAAAGUAUCUUUUUGAGCAUGGGUGGCCAAACCUGAACAAGCCAGUUCCAUCACAGUGGUGAUUCCAGCACAAGGAGAUAACCCCUGCACUGCUCAGGGUAGCAGUACCUGGUGUCUGGUACUCCUGGGUGCCACGGUGUCCAUGUGUGCACACAGAGCACUGACUGAAACUGGGGGAAUUCCUGCUGCAGUGUUUCCAGAGUCUUGGGGAAGACAACUUCUCAACAAGAACAAUACUGCUGAGAGCAACUGAGACCAAAGGCCUGGCCUUCAAAAUAUAUGACUUGAAAAGAAAGCUGCAUUUUUUUGGUAAGGUCCAAAUGUAUUUCAUUCAGCUUUGCUGCUACUCCCAAAGUUUAGUUGUAAACAAGUCACACAUCUGGGUAGCACUGCCUGUAACUGUCUUCAUCCUCACCAGGAAUUACUUCACAAUGUUCUGUGUGUGCAGAAAGCAGCUUGUAAGAGGUAACCUGAGCAAACUCUUACAACUGAAGAGCUUAAAUAUCUUCAAUG